CACACGCCCGUCGCUCCUACCGAUUGAGUUAUCCGGUGAAUAAUUCCG
rnacentral:rRNA from 14 species